GAGUAGCUCAGUUAGUUCAGAGCAUUCCGAUUUUUCAUCGGAAGUAGUCGGGGGUUCGAACCCCUCAUCGCCCA
rnacentral:tRNA from 1 species